rnacentral:rRNA from 1 species
CCUACGGGCGGCUGCAGUGGGGAAUAUUGGACAAUGGGGGGAACCCUGAUCCAGCCAUGCCGCGUGUGUGAAGAAGGCCCUCGGGUUGUAAAGCACUUUCAGUGAGGAAGAACGCCUGGUGGUUAAUACCCAUCAGGAAAGACAUCACUCACAGAAGAAGCACCGGCUAACUCCGUGCCAGCAGCCGCGGUAAUACGGAGGGUGCGAGCGUUAAUCGGAAUUACUGGGCGUAAAGCGCGCGUAGGUGGCUUGAUAAGCCGGUUGUGAAAGCCACGGGCUCAACCUGGGAACGGCAUCCGGAACUGUCAAGCUAGAGUGCAGGAGAGGAAGGUAGAAUUCCCGGUGUAGCGGUGAAAUGCGUAGAGAUCGGGAGGAAUACCAGUGGCGAAGGCGGCCUUCUGGACUGACACUGACACUGAGGUGCGAAAGCGUGGGUAGCAAACAGGAUUAGAUACCCCGGUAGUC